ensembl:lncRNA
AUGCACUUUGCAGACGCCGCGGCGGCGGUACGAGCGGCGGUAGAAGUGACGUUUUGGAUGUCUACCUACUGUAGUUUAACAAACAUACAAAGACUCACAUGUACAUACAAAAGGGGAGCAAACUGGAUGAAAGAAAUCAUUGGAAGAACAGGGAAUGAAGCUAUGGAAAAGGAGUCUACUGAUUCCUCAGUGAUACAAUAUUUCUCUGAGAAAUUUCCAAAUUUGUGGUCAACUUCUAAACUUGAUGUUGGUCUUUGCAGGAUUGAGCCUUUGAAUGUUUCAGGUCGGUCCAUCCUAUACAUCCUCCAGUAUUUCAGUAUCCUCUUCGGAGAGAAGCAGAGAGAGCUGCACAGGAAAUUGUGAACCAGCUUCAGGAAUCAGGGAUUUUGGUAAGGUGUAGUUCCUCAACGAACUUACCUAUGCAGCCUGUGAAAAAAAAAAUAAGCCAGAUGGUAGCUGUAGAUUAACUAUAGACUACACCGCAUUGAAUGCUGUGACUCCUAAAAUAACUGCUAUUGUGCUAAUCCGUCAACCAUUCUUAAUGACAUUUCUCCAAACCAUCGUUAUUUUAGCGCAGUAGACAUAACCAAUGUUUUUGGUUUUGUCCUAUCAGAGAAGAAGUACAAUACAGAUUUGCCUUUCAAUAUUGUGACGACAUUCUUCUCACGUUUCAAGACAAAGCACAACACUUGAGUGUACUCUUUCGGUUGCUGAAAGCUCUCCAAGAGGCGGGUUUCCUCUUGAACAAACAAAAGGUGCAAUUGUUUCAAUCGGGAGUUACAUUUUUAGGUCAAAGUAUAGGUCGUGAGGAAAAGAGACCUCUUCCAGACCGGGUCAUAGCCAUUACUCAAUUAAAUAAGCCAACCACAGUUACUGGUGUAAGAUCAGUGAUGGGGCUAUUUAAUUUUAAUCGGAUGUAUAUCCCAGAUUUUUCUGAUUUGGCUAAACCUCUAACAGAGGCUCUUAAAGGAGGCCUUCUGGGUGCUUCCCCUUUGGAGUGGACAGCGGACAUGGCUGAGUCCUUUACUCUCCUCAAAUCCGCAUUAGCCUCCUCUUCUGCAUUACAUCACCCAGGCAUGACAAAGGCAUUCCAUGUAUGGACACAUGUUGGCCCAAGUGCUUAUAACUGUGUGCUGUGACAAUGUAAAGGUGACAAAAGUUAUGGCAUUGUUGGGUAUUAUU